GGUAAUAAAGGCCUUAUCAAUCACCUGCAACUUUUUUUUUUUUUCUUCACUCUCUCCUCGCUCAUUACUUCAUCAAUCGUCUCAAAGCUCCUUCUUAUUAAUCCCCGGAAUCAAAUCCCUUCUCAGCUUUCAUCGCGUGCAGGAAUAGGUUCGUCAGAGUCUCGGCAAAGAACACCUCCUUCAGAGACCCGUAAUUGAGUGAAGGAGAAGAGGACGACUUUGUGUCCGGGUUUGUUUUGGCUUCCUGCAAGUGCAAUGGCAUUGUUUAUAUCUACGAACUUGAGUGGUUCUUUGCAAUUAAACACUGUGAUCGUCUUAUGUGUAUCUGGUUGGACAACCAAACCGGUAGCAAUGUAGAAGACUGACAAGGGCUGCUGCUAUGAAUACAAGCACACCCGACACAGCAAGGUGCUCUGUUUGUGCUAUAUUUAAGGAUAAGUACUACAUUUAUUCACCCACUGAGCUUUAUGUCUGUUUGUGCUAAGACUCAUAAAUGUUACAACAUUUGUUGGCUUUUGAUCUCAUUACCAACAUCAUCUUUUGCAAGAAAUUGAAGCAAAUGAGAAGCAUAGAUAUCAACUCCAACAUAUGAUUGAGGAGGCCAUUAGUAACAAUGGCAAUAUCACGGCAGAUAUCUACAUGGAAGACCUUUGCGAAUAUCAAGAAUCAAGAAAUUGGUGAUUGGCAUCAGCAUAGAGGAAGAGAUUUCAAAGUGUCUCUUCUGGGCUACCUGCAAGAAGAUGGCAAUGUCGUUGGAGCAAAAAAGGGGUUGGGAUAUUGUCAGAACAGCUGAGGAGCACCCUGAGAUUCUACCUGAAAGUGAACUUUGAUGAGAAUAAGCCAAUGUGCAAAGCGUAUGAACGUGAAGUGCAUAUUCAAUUUUCAAUGAAGAUUUUAGAGAGCUUCCAGGGACCCUUAAUGCAGAACGUCUUGAUGGGGACAUACGAACAGAUUGGGAAAAGGCUCAGCUGCUUUAGCUGAUUUGGGUGAGGCUGAAGAGAAAGAACGUGUUGAUGAUUUGAAGUUCAAGGAUUUGGCUGCCAAAAUUGCAGGAAUAGGCAGCUGUUGCUGAAAUAGACCAGCCAAAAUGGUGGUAAAGAAGUAUUCCCAAUAUGAUUGACAUACAUUCUACUCAAGAAUUCUUGAGUGCUUUAGGUCAAGCUGGAGAGAGCUGUGCAUUAUUUUGUAAAUAAUUGAUUAAGUGAUCCAGAUAGGACUUUGUUCUGUCAACAUAAGUCUUGCCAUGUAUAGAAUUUGGUUUUGAUUUUCUAUUUGGCUUAACAUCUAAAAGACUUUUCUUUAUAAAAAACAUUAGUAUAGUAAUUGAUCACUUACAGGCUUUGAAGCCCCCUUUUGACUAGUAGGCUAGACCCUUACGGAACAUAACUCUACCUAAGUAAUUGACAGAACUACACUACUUCUAUUCGACCACCUCAUCCUAAUUUAACAUCUGCUUGAACUCUAUGGUACCCUUUGGUAUACAACUUAGCAACUAUCGUUAAUGCAGCAUUACUUGGUAACUUCAAUUUUUUGUUGGACAUCUAAGUGUCUUAUGUUUUCUGAAGGGUAUUAUUUUUUGUAGAAGGUAUUUACUGAUAAAAAGCCUUAAAUUGUAAUCAAUAUCUGGAAGCGUGAUGGCUCAACCAUUGGCUUUAAAGAGCAAUGUAAUGUGAGCAACAAACGUAUAAUUGUGAAAAAAUUUCUGAAUAGUUAGAUAUUAACACUGCUUCCUUGUAUGUUACUGUCACAGCUUCUAUUGUCCUGCAUCAGUUUGGAGGUGACCUAACAAUAACGAUAUGAAUAUGUUCUGUUUCUGCCAUUUGGUGUGAAUAUUAUGAUUGAAGAUGUUAAUAACACCGUAUCUUGGUCUUAAUAACACCGAAUUAUGAUCUGCUUGUUUGUGUGCUUUUUCUUAUUGUCUUCCUGGUCCCUACUAUACCAUCACCGUAUGAUCUGAACUUUCUACACCACCUCUCACUUAGUUCUCACUAUCCCUUAAAGGGAAAGGUGAUGUUAGUGUUCAUUGGCAAUGCAGCUUACUAUUUCAGAUUUGGUUUUAUAAUCAGAUGUGAAUUGUUGCUAUUCGACGUGCAUUACUUUAUUGUAUUUUGUAUAUUGCAUCUGCAGUUUUAGUCAUUUCACCUUGCAUAUGUUACAGCAUCAUUCAUUUAUUUUUGCUCUU